rnacentral:rRNA from 1 species
AGAUUGAACGCUGGCGGCAUGCCUUACACAUGCAAGUCGAACGGCAGCACGGGAGCAAUCCUGGUGGCGAGUGGCGAACGGGUGAGUAAUACAUCGGAACGUGCCCAAUCGUGGGGGAUAACGCAGCGAAAGCUGUGCUAAUACCGCAUAAGAUCUACGGAUGAAAGCAGGGGAUCGCAAGACCUUGCGCGAAUGGAGCGGCCGAUGGCAGAUUAGGUAGUUGGUGAGGUAAAGGCUCACCAAGCCUUCGAUCUGUAGCUGGUCUAGGAGGGACGACCAGCCACACGUGGGACUGAGACGACGGCCCAGACCUCCGACGGGAGCGAGCGAGGUUAGGGGUAAUUUUGGAAC